rnacentral:SRP_RNA from 1 species
AGAAGCACGCCCGACAGAGUGCUGCCGAGACUGCUUUGGCAUUGGUGCAAGACCAACUCCUUCAGCCCAGUGAGAUGCCAGAAAUCAUCGAUGCCUUUGUGGAUUUGUCUGGCUUGUUGCCGGCUCCACACAACGAGGCUUAUAGACGCCGAGCUUCCCCUGACUACAUCCGU